AGUGAACGCUGGCGGUAGGCCUAACACAUGCAAGUCGAACGGCAGCACAGUAAGAGCUUGCUCUUACGGGUGGCGAGUGGCGGACGGGUGAGGAAUACAUCGGAAUCUACUUUUUCGUGGGGGAUAACGUAGGGAAACUUACGCUAAUACCGCAUACGACCUACGGGUGAAAGCAGGGGAUCUUCGGACCUUGCGCGAAUGAAUGAGCCGAUGUCGGAUUAGCUAGUUGGCGGGGUAAAGGCCCACCAAGGCGAAGAUCCGUAGCUGGUCUGAGAGGAUGAUCGGCCACACUGGAACUGAGACACGGUCCAGACUCCUACGGGAGGCAGCAGUGGGGAAUAUUGGACAAAGGGCGCAAGCCUGAUCCAGCCAUACCGCGUGGGUGAAGAAGGCCUUCGGGUUGUAAAGCCCUUUUGUUGGGAAAGAAAAGCAGCAGGUUAAUACCCCGCUGUUCUGACGGUACCCAAAGAAUAAGCACCGGCUAACUUCGUG
rnacentral:rRNA from 1 species